GAUGAAGAACGUAGCGAAAUGCGAUAAGUAGUGUGAAUUGCAGAAUUCAGUGAAUCAUCGAAUCUUUGAACGCACAUUGCGCCCCUUGGUAUCCCGAGGGGCAUGCCUGUUCGAGCGUCAUUUCACCACUCAAGCCUGGCUUGGUGUUGGGCGACGUCCUCUUUGGGGACGCGCCUCGAAACGCUCGGCGGCGUGGCACCGGCUUUAAGCGUGGCAGAAUCUUUCGCUUUGGAAGUCGGGGCCCCGUCUGCCGGAAGACCUGCUCGCAAGGUUGACCUCGGAUCAGGCAGGGAUACCCGCUGAACUUAAGCAUAUCAAUAAGCGGAGGA
rnacentral:misc_RNA from 1 species